AUGGCAAUAAACUGUGUAGGAGUUUAUUAUUGCAAUAGAAUAAAAUCGACCAAGCCUGAAGUCAGCAGCCCCUUCAAUGAAUGCAGCAGUGUGACAGCCAACAAUCAAAAGUUACAAGAUAUCGAGGAAAUGCAGAAGGCAAAAAACUGCGUAGGAGAUCAUUAAUACAAAAGUAUUAUAUAAACCAAACCUGAUGUUGCCAGCUCCUUCAAUGAAUGCAGCAGUGUGACAGCCAGCAAUCAAAAGUAACAAGAUAUCGAGGAAAUGCAGAAGGCAAAAAACUGCGUAGGAGAUCAUUAAUACAAUAGUAUUAUAUAAACCAAGCCUGAUGUUGGCCGCUCAUUCAAAGAAUGCAGCAGUGUGACAGCCAGCAAUCAAAAGUAACAAGAUGUCGAGGAAAUGCAGAGUGCAAUAAACUUUGUAGGAGAUUAUGAUUGCAAUAGAAUAAAAUCGACCAAGCCUGAAGUUCUUCAAUGCACGCAGCAGUGUGACAGCCAGCAAUCAAAAGUUACAAGAUAUCGAGGAAAUGCAGAAGGCAAAAAACUGCGUAGGAGAUUAUUAAUACAAUAGUAUUAUAUCAACCAAGCCUGAUGUCGGUAGCUUCUUCAAUGAAUGCAGCAGUGUGAC
rnacentral:lncRNA from 1 species